ACUCCUACGGGAGGCAGCAGUGGGAAUAUUGGACAAUGGGCGCAAGCCUGAUCCAGCCAUGCCGCGUGAGUGAAGAAGGCCUUAGGGUUGUAAAGCUCUUUCAGCAGGGAAGAUAAUGACGGUACCUGCAGAAGAAGCCCCGCGUACAUCCGUGCCAGCAGCCGCGGUAAUACGGAGGGGCGUAGCGUUGUUCGGAAUUACUGGGCGUAAAGCGCGCGUA
rnacentral:rRNA from 1 species